UAAGGUGGUUAUAGCAUCGGGGCUCACCUCUUACCAUUCCGAACAGAGAAGUUAAGCCCGUUAGCGCCAAUGGUACUACAAUCGUGGGAGAGUAGGUCGCCGCCUUCCUUGAAAACCCUUCAUUAUUAUAAUGAAGGGUUUUUUU
rnacentral:rRNA from 1 species